ACGAGCCACAUGCAGGGAAACUUGCAUGUGUGGUUCUAUCAAAACUAGGACUUUAAUACCCUAAAACUCACUGAUUUUUGCAAUUAUUCAACGGAUUUCCUAAAGGCUGUUAAUGAUAU
rnacentral:ncRNA from 1 species